rnacentral:rRNA from 1 species
GAUGAACGCUGGCGGCGUGCCUAAUACAUGCAAGUAGAACGCUGAAGGAGGAGCUUGCUCUUCUGGAUGAGUUGCGAACGGGUGAGUAACGCGUAGGUAACCUGCCUGGUAGCGGGGGAUAACUAUUGGAAACGAUAGCUAAUACCGCAUGACAACAGUUAUUGCAUGAUAACUGUUUAAAAGGGGCAACUGCUCCACUACCAGAUGGACCUGCGUUGUAUUAGCUAGUUGGUGAGGUAACGGCUCACCAAGGCGACGAUACAUAGCCGACCUGAGAGGGUGAUCGGCCACACUGGGACUGAGACACGGCCCAGACUCCUACGGGAGGCAGCAGUAGGGAAUCUUCGGCAAUGGACGGAAGUCUGACCGAGCAACGCCGCGUGAGUGAAGAAGGGUUUCGGAUCGUAAAGCUCUGUUGCAAGAGAAGAACGAGUGUGAGAGUGGAAAGUUCACACUGUGACGGUAUCUUACCAGAAAGGGACGGCUAACUACGUG